rnacentral:tRNA from 1 species
UUUUGAUAAUUUUGCGAUUGAUGGGGUCAUUUAAGUUUAUGUUAAGGGCCCAUAGCUCAGGCGGUUAGAGUGCACCCCUGAUAAGGGUGAGGUCGGUAGUUCGAAUCUACCUGGGCCCACCAUUCAGUCAGGUAAGGGGCCGUAGCUCAGCUGGGAGAGCGCCUGCUUUGCAAGCAGGAUGUCAGCGGUUCGAUCCCGCUCGGCUCCACCAAUUGCGAAUUUAUAGUUUUUUUGUUCUAGGGAUUUUUUUUAGAGCAAUAGUUUUUUGAAAAUUGAAUAGAAGGUAGAUUUUUUUGUAUUUUUUAUAUUGGCAUUGUAUGCGAUAUGGGAGGUACCAA